rnacentral:misc_RNA from 1 species
GCGCAUUGGAGGGAGUGGAUGGGUGAGCGGUUAAUUUGAGUCUGUCAAGUGGCGGAAGCUUGACAAAAAUGAGUGCGCAGGUUAAGCGAAUCUUCCUUCUACUAGUUGGCGCAGGUUAAGUCAGUAGAUACAGAGAAAGGAAAGAUACAAACCUAAGAAACUUGCAUAGAAAGAAAUAAUAUAGAAGAAGAAGAGAAUACAAAAAGAGAACAUAAUUUUCAAUUUCUUGUUAAUGAUCCAUGUCGAAGAUGAAGCAUCUACUCAGAAAGCUCCAUAUCGGCGGUGCCAUCAAUGACCACCAGCGAUUGCCUGAUACCCAACCUGUGGCCAACCCCAGCGCCACCGCAAACCCUUUGUCUUCAUCGUCUUCGUCUUCGUCUUCUAAUGGUAGAAUUGCUGCAGUUGAAUCGCCGGGAGGGGAUCGGAUUGCAGCGGGAGAUGCUAGUGGCAUGGAUUUUAAUUUAUUGGAGGAGGAGUUUCAGGUUCAAUUGGCUCUGGCAAUAAGCGCCUCGGAUCCGGAUACGCGUGAGGAUCCGGAGUCGGCUCAGAUCGAUGCUGCUAAGCGGAUUAGCCUCGGCUGCCCUGUAGCUCGAGUUACCGUCACCGAUUCUCCCGUCGAGUCUCUCUCGCUUCGCUAUUGGAGCUAUAAUGUUGUAAAUUAUAAUGAUAAAGUGAUGGAUGGCUUUUAUGAUGUAUAUGGCAUUACCUCAAAUUCGGCCGUUCAAGUUCAAGGGAAGAUGCCAUUAUUAAUGGAUCUGCAAGCAAUAUCAAUUUUAGAUAACAUUGAUUAUGAAGUGGUGUUGGUAAAUCGCUUUGUUGACCCUGAACUUCGAGAACUUGAGAGAAAAGCUUAUAUGAUGUCCCUGGAAAGCCGAGUCUCUGAUGGCAUGCUUUUAAGUGGCAUGAUUCAGAAACUUGCUGAUCUUGUUGUUGAUAGAAUGGGUGGUCCAGUUGGUGAUGCUGAUGAGAUAUCAACAAGGUGGACCAGGAGAAGCUAUGAGUUACGGAAUGCUCUGAACUCUAUCAUUAUUCCCCUUGGACGUCUUGAUGUAGGACUUUCACGCCAUAGGGCCUUGCUUUUUAAGGUGCUGGCUGAUAAAAUUAAUCUUCCAUGUAUGCUGGUUAAGGGGAGCUACUACACUGGCACUGAUGAUGGAGCUAUAAAUUUGAUUAAGAUUAAUAAUGAAAGUGAAUACAUUAUUGAUCUUAUGGGUGCUCCUGGAAUUCUAAUUCCUGCUGAGGUGCCCAGCAGUCUUCUUGCAAGCACUGGAUUUGAUGUAAGGGGCUUUGCUGAUCUUACUGGGAUCCCCAAAGGUUCAUCGUUGGCUGGUGAAGAACCCAGGGAUGUAGCAGUUUCAUCUAAUCUAGAUAGGGCUUCCCAUGUUGGCAGCUCAAGGACAGAGGAGGCAUUGUCUGUAGGCAUCAAGUCAAAUGAGCCUAACAUAGGCUGGGUUGGAAAAAACCAAGCUGAGACAUUUGGACAUGAGUUUGGAAAGGGUUUUCCAUCAUCUUGCAUAUCACAUGAAAACUCAUCAGGGACUGGAAGGCCAUCAGCAGCAGAAAACAUUAAAGUAAAAAAUGUCUCGAAGUAUGUUAUCACCGCAGCUAAAAAUCCUGAUUUUGCACAGAAAUUACACACUGUUUUGUCAGAGAGUGGUGCAACACCUCCUCCAGAUUUGUUUUCAGUUAUGAAUCAGCAAGAUUUGGGUGAGCAGAAGGUACUUGAAGAACUUCAUCUAGAAAAUGGAGUAAAUCUAGAUGUUCAACUUCAAUGUUGUUCUGAUAAGCUCUUGUCAAGGCAUGCACAGUCUCUUAUAUCCUUGACUACAGAGGAUCCUUUGAACAAUCUUAGGUAUGAUAGUAAGCAAGGAUGGCCUGCUGAGGGGCCAGCUAAACAAAAAAGAGAAACAGAAAUGGAUUUCUUCAAGUCUGAUGCUUCUUUUCCCUCUGAUAAUACAAGUGAGGGAUUUGUAGUUGUUAAAAAUAGAACCAACGAAAAAUUACAGAUGGGUGCUACAGGUAUAAAUAAUUUCCCUGAUAAUCCACCAGGAAUGCUUGGAAGGACAAUGCAUGGAAAUCAAAUCCAUGAAUCAUUCUUGUCCUCAGCAGUGAACUCUUGUCAACUACAACCUGAAGACGCCUUAGUCCGUGAUGAUAAACAGAGUGUGAAGUUGGUUGAAACAUUCAAUGGUGGUCUGCAUAUGUCUUGUAAUGGUUACAGUGAGAGAAUUCAUCCAGUGCUGGGGGAGGUUGCUGAAUGGGAAAUCCCAUGGGAGGAUCUUCAAAUUGGUGAACGUAUUGGUAUAGGUUCAUAUGGUGAGGUGUACCAUGCAGAUUGGAAUGGCACUGAAGUUGCUGUGAAGAAAUUUUUGGACCAAGAUUUAUCUGGAGAUGCAUUGGUUCAGUUCAAAUGUGAAGCUGAAAUCAUGUUAAGAUUAAGACAUCCUAAUGUUGUUUUGUUUAUGGGGGCAGUUGCUUGCCCUCCACAUCUGUCAAUACUGACAGAAUUCCUGCCCAGGGGGAGUUUGUAUAGGCUACUACAUCGUCCCAAUCCUCAACUUGAUGAAAAGCGGCGAAUGCGAAUGGCUCUUGAUGUGGCCAAGGGAAUGAAUUACUUGCACACAAGCCAUCCUCCCAUAGUGCAUCGAGAUUUAAAGUCUCCAAAUCUCCUUGUUGACAAAAACUGGGUUGUUAAGGUCUCUGAUUUUGGAUUGUCACGCAUGAAGCACCAUACUUUUCUGUCUUCAAAGUCUACUGCUGGAACGCCUGAAUGGAUGGCACCCGAAGUCCUAAGAAAUGAACCAGCAAACGAGAAAUGUGAUGUAUACAGUUUUGGUGUGAUAUUAUGGGAGUUGGCCACCUGUCAAAUCCCUUGGAAAGGCUUGAAUCCAAUGCAGGUUGUGGGAGCUGUUGGAUUCCAAAAUAAGCGUCUUGAGAUUCCAGAGGAUGUUGAUCCGGCCAUUGCACAGAUAAUACAUGAUUGUUGGCAAAGGUGAGUUCUAGACUAGUCCAAAAUUUCUAUGGAGUUUCGGUUAUGAUAACCAACUUCUCAUUGUCUUUGCAGGGAGCCACACUUGCGACCCUCUUUUUCACAACUUAUAUCCCGUCUGCGUCACAUUCAAAAUUUACAUGUUGAAAGAACAUAACAUACAUAUCAAACAACAGAAUAACCGGAACAGUACUACUGUAGUUUAGGUUGUUUCUCAUCUCAAAGAGCCGGAGCAGCCCUUUUUUUUUCCCGUUUCUUUUAUUUGAUGCCAAGAAAGAUACUACUUGACAGGCAAGUGUUGGUUCAUUCAAAGUGGGGACUCAGCACAAGCCUGUUGAUUCGACACAGAGUGGACAUUCUCCCAAUUAAACUGCAUAAGUGCAGAGGAGAAUGCCAUCGGAAAGUUGCUUUUAGUAGCAUAAAUAGUUAUUGUCAUUAAUCUUACAUGUAAGAAAAAAAAAAUCCUGAAAUGGGAAAAAGAAAAAAUAAUCUUUCAAUUUUUCUUUCUUUCUCUGUGGAGGUCUCGUUUGGGUAAGCAAUCCAAACUCCAGAAUUGUAAACAUGGGAUCUCUGCGGUCAUUGUGGAAAAGAAAAAGAAAAGGAAAAACAAUUGAAGAAGAAUUUUCUUUAUGAAGUGUUUAUAUUUAUUUACAAUUCUUUCCUCUCGCAGAAUUCUGGUUCCGAUGUUUGUUCUGAAAUUUGUAGUGAUUUAACAGUGAUUUUCAAUGUGAAUCUUUGAAGUUGUUUA